GUCGUCGAUUGUCAGGAUAAAAUCCUAUCUUCCUGUAACAUUUUCGGAAUGACAGUAAGACGAGUUUAUGAAGUCAAACUGUAUGGUUUCAGAAAGUGACGUUUUUCUGUUUGCAGUAUCAGCUCUACUGUGAUAGUCGACUUUGGUAUAAUUUUACCCCCUUAUUGAUAGGAUUUCAAACUCUUGUGAUUUUACUUAGUU
rnacentral:lncRNA from 1 species